GUCCAGACUCCUACGGGAGGCAGCAGUGGGGGAUAUUGCACAAUGGGGGAAACCCUGAUGCAGCGACGCCGCGUGGGCGAAGAAGUAUUUCGGUACGUAAAGCUCUAUCAGCAGGGAAGAAAGAAAGUCCUUUGGACUUUGGACGGUACCUGACCAAGAAGCCCCGGCUAACUACGUGCCAGCAGCCGCGGUAAUACGUAGGGGGCAAGCGUUAUCCGGAUUUACUGGGUGUAAAGGGAGCGUAGACGGCGACGCAAGUCUGGAGUGAAAGCCCGGGGCCCAACCCCGGGACUGCUCUGGAAACUGCGUCGCUGGAGUACGGGAGGGGCAGGCGGAAUUCCUGGUGUAGCGGUGAAAUGCGUAGAUAUCAGGAGGAACACCGGCGGCGAAGGCGGCCUGCUGGACCGUGACUGACGUUGAGGCUCGAGAGCGUGGGGAGCAAACAGGAUUAGAUACCCCCGUACA
rnacentral:rRNA from 1 species